AAAAAUCAAAAUGUCAUGUCACUGACCUCAUAAUUCAUAAUAUUAUCUAAAAUUUCAGAUAAACUUAAACUUAAAUAAUUAUGUGAAUCUCAUCUCUGGAUAAAUGAGAAAGUGCGAAAAAGCAAUAUUGAAAUAGCAAGCAGAACAUUGUGCAGAGUGCGCGAAGCUCCCUGACCCCGAAGUUACAAAGACAAAGAUAGGUACAUAAAUAACUCCCAACGAGGUAAAAGUUAUGAGACGAAGUUGAUAGAAUUCUCUGCUGAAAGUUUAAGUGCAAAUGAUUUGGGAGUUCACAAAAACUAGAGCAGCUGGUCAAAAUUGUGUUGAUUGCCGGCUUGCCCAAACAUUGAACAAGGAAGUACCGGCUUGGGAGAUGAUCAUGUGGUAGUGAGAACUUCAAGUUGGGGGAGGCGCCACCAUGUCUACACUUAAAAUAUUCAUAUUUGUAUCAUACAUCUGAAAAUGUAAAAAUUUAAUUGUACCUUAAUAUAGUACAUUGUUUUCAUUUUAAGUUUAAUAAAAAUGAAAUUAAAAGUAUACAUAAGUACUGCAAGUUUUUAAAUGAUUUAUCGACUCUUUAUUAUGCAAAUACAAUAAUUGAUUUAAAUAUAAAAUAAAAAUAUAAAUACCAACUAUUAGUGUAGGAAUUAUUCAUUGCGAUGUAAAUAUAAAGUUUUUGUUUAUUGCAUUUUAAGUUUUAAAAGCUGGUAUUAUAAAUAAGACUUUAUUUUUUUAAUCAAGAGUCUUUUUAAUAUG